UCAGAAUUGAACGCUGGCGGCAUGCUUUACACAUGCAAGUCGAACGGUAACAGGUCUUCGGAUGCUGACGAGUGGCGAACGGGUGAGUAAUACAUCGGAACGUGCCUAGUAGUGGGGGAUAACUACUCGAAAGAGUAGCUAAUACCGCAUGAGAUCUACGGAUGAAAGCAGGGGACCUUCGGGCCUUGUGCUACUAGAGCGGCUGAUGGCAGAUUAGGUAGUUGGUGGGGUAAAGGCUUACCAAGCCUGCGAUCUGUAGCUGGUCUGAGAGGACGACCAGCCACACUGGGACUGAGACACGGCCCAGACUCCUACGGGAGGCAGCAGUGGGGAAUUUUGGACAAUGGGCGAAAGCCUGAUCCAGCAAUGCCGCGUGCAGGAUGAAGGCCCUCGGGUUGUAAACUGCUUUUGUACGGAACGAAAAGCUCUGGGCUAAUACCCCGGAGUCAUGACGGUACCGUAAGAAUAAGCACCGGCUAACUACGUGCCAGCAGCCGCGGUAAUACGUAGGGUGCAAGCGUUAAUCGGAAUUACUGGGCGUAAAGCGUGCGCAGGCGGUUUUGUAAGACAGUGGUGAAAUCCCCGGGCUCAACCUGGGAACUGCCAUUGUGACUGCAAAGCUAGAGUGCGGCAGAGGGGGAUGGAAUUCCGCGUGUAGCAGUGAAAUGCGUAGAUAUGCGGAGGAACACCGAUGGCGAAGGCAUCCCCUGGGCCUGCACUGACGCU
rnacentral:rRNA from 1 species